rnacentral:tRNA from 1 species
GUUUUUUUAAUAUAAUAAGUAUAUUUGGCUUCCAACCAGAAAGUCUAGAGUUUUCUAGAAGAAACA